rnacentral:rRNA from 1 species
AACGAACGCUGGCGGCAUGCCUAACACAUGCAAGUCGAACGAGACCUUCGGGUCUAGUGGCGCACGGGUGCGUAACGCGUGGGAACCUGCCUUUAGGUUCGGAAUAACUCAGAGAAAUUUGAGCUAAUACCGGAUGAUGUCUUCGGACCAAAGAUUUAUCGCCUUUAGAUGGGCCCGCGUUGGAUUAGCUAGUUGGUGGGGUAAAGGCCUACCAAGGCGACGAUCCAUAGCUGGUCUGAGAGGAUGAUCAGCCACACUGGGACUGAGACACGGCCCAGACUCCUACGGGAGGCAGCAGUGGGGAAUAUUGGACAAGGGGCGAAAGCCUGAUCCAGCAAUGCCGCGUGAGUGAUGAAGGCCUUAGGGAUGUAAAGCUCUUUUACCCGAGAUGAUAAUGACAGUAUCGGGAGAAGAAGCUCCGGCUAACUCCGUG